GUAUGUUCUUUGAUUUUCGGACCUUUUGCAGCUUGAGGACGAGGUAUGUGCCCCUCCCCUGGUUACUUGCCAGUAACCAUGUCGGAUUCAUUACAAUUGUUAACCCAUUUGUAGGAAGAGAUAGAUCUGCUCUGGUGGUGGGAGACAGACACAAUUCCUUUUGGUGCUAUUUUCUAAAUAAGAUAUAUGCAUGUCUUCACACCUUCAUUGCUGUUGCGCCCAUAACCCAAGCUCCGCUGCUGCCACGAUGUUGGUCCGCGAAGAGGACGCAAACACUACAGCUCUGAAAUCAAUGGCAGAUAUUGCUCCCAUUCUGUUGCUAUUGUUGUGGAACGUCAGGGGACGCGAAAUCUGCCACCGGUAUGUUUUGUGUGUGAUUCGAAGUUUGACAACUGGCAUGAUGCGAGAAAAAACAACAGUGGAUACCUCCCAUCAAUUGCUGACAGUUGGUUUGUUACUUUAGACCGACCGGUGAAUCCACAGCAUGCAGCAAGGUGAGCAACCAAUCAUCGUCGUGGGAUUUCUAUUCUGAAUGCUGAAGAAAGCUACUAAGCAAUUUCAUGUCAUAGAUUGCUUGGAAAAAUGCAACAUUGAUAUGCUAGAAUCCCGAGGAGACUAUGGCCGGUGAUGGAGAUUAUUUUGUAUGCUCAUGGUGCCGUGGCGGCUGCAUGGCGGAGGGCUGCACGCUCGACUUCGACAUCGGCGUCUUCGACAAGGAGAAGAUCUCCCUCGCCAGCCACGACGAGGUGCAACCUCUUCCCACUGCUCCCAGAGGCGUCAAGGGUGUCAUGUCCUCUGUCGUGAUCGGAUGGGGCUCCCAGGUUCAGUCCCAUCUCCCAUCUUCGCUUUGCUCCCUCACUGUGCAGUUUCUCUCCUAUCUGUCGAGAUAUGUCUCUCUAGUCUCUACUGCUAUUCUACUGAAUAUUGUUCUUGGACUAUCAUAGUCAAUUGCUUUAGUGGUGAACAUGUGUAGGAGGAUUUGUGGUUUAGCGUUAUUAGACCUCUGUAAAUACAUGUAUAGGAGGAUUCUUGGAGCUUUGUACAAUCAGCAAGGCCAUCAAAGCUAAUUGCUUUACUGGGAGCAGUAACAUAUGCAGAACCAGAAACUAGGUGUAAUCUGAACCAGAAACCAGUAACAUAUGCAUAUGUUGUAUGUGUCCAUGGACUGAAAGCAGAACCAGAAACUAGGUGUAAUCUGAUGUUCCCUUGGUAGAACCUGCUUUGAGAAAAUAGUACCCAAUGUGUCCAUGCUUUCCACUCUCUUUUGGUGAUUAUUUUCUGAUUCUGUAAAUAAAGGGAAACUGUUUUCGGAUCCCCCUCCCUGCACCGCACUCAUCAUGCACGU